AAAGCGCGGGUCUCCUCUUUCUCUUCUAUCUUCUUCUUCCGUCUGGCUGUGGACAAAUUGGAAUCAGAAAAUUAUUGAUUCUAGAUCGGUUCAAAAUGUCAUCUUUUUCUAUCUGCGGGAAAAUUGGAAACUUGAAUCUUCCCUUCUCUUCCCUUCUUUAUGAUCAUCCAUCUGGUAAAUUUCAUCUAUAUUAUCAGCGCUGGAUUCUUCGUUUAUUGAGAUUGUCUUCCAUUUUUAAUUCGGCUGUUUGGAGAUGAGAUUAGCAGAUUAUUGCCUGUGUAGGAUUUAGAUGAUUUAUGAAUGCUGUGAUGAAAAUAUUAUUGAAAUUUGGCAUCGAGAUGUUUGAUGAUAAAUGAUUUGAAAAUUCCAGCCAUAUGCAAUCGGCCAAGAGUGAAAUCAGACUGGAUUCUGAGAGGAAAUUCAGAUUGGAUUCUAUGAGUUGUAAAGAGAAGAUCAAGAAAUUUGAAAUUGGGUAGAAGAUUUGUCUGUGUCCUUGCAUUGAGUUUGAUAGAGUAUAUGGUCUAUGUGUAUUAUGGAUCUGAUCCCUUACAAGAGUUGAUGAUUCAGGUGAACAUAUUAGCGGCCCAUGUAGGAUAGACCCAAUCGACUGAAUAUCAGUGCAAUUGCUUCCUCUUCACACGGGUUUUUUGAUUUAACUCUUAUGAACCACUUUACCUACUUAACAUACAAUUUUUGUACGCAUGCAUGUAGGUGUGUUUGAGCAUUCAGAUGUUUUGAGUGCUGCGUUUUGGUUGUUAUUAGAACAUGGAUUUGGUGGAACCUAAAGAUGGUAUUCAAACUAUCUUCUCAUGGAUGUUCGUAUUGUGUACAUUAAGAUAGAUUUCCUAGCUGCUGAAUUUAUGGCAUCUGGGAUUACGUCGAAACAUGCUGAAAGAAUAUAUUAGCCUCCAACGAUCUAUAUUUGGACAUGACUUCUUCUGUAUCUUAUGUGAUUCGCCAUGCGAGGAAUAAUAUUUGCCUGAUAACUUAAGGUUGUAUCGUUAGGUUAAUGCUUUAUCCAACUUUUUGAUAAACAAGCGAUUAGUUGUAGGUUGUUCCUGUUGCUUGAAUGCGGAUGUUAGUCAUCAGUCAAGUAUGCAUAUCCUAAAUUCCAAGCCUUAACAGCACCGGAUCGACCAUGUAGGAUAAACCCAUUCGACCAAAUUUCAGUGUAAUUGCUUCCUCUUCAUAUGUGCUCUUGGGUUUUAACUCUAUUAAACCACUUUACCUACCUAAUUUCAAGAAUCUUUUGUAUGCAUGUAUAGGGGUGUUAGUGCAUUUGUACUGAGAAUUUUGUUUAGAAUUUUGAUGAAUUGAGUAGACUUCUAACCUGAGCUUCGUCAAACCAACCAACGUUUGACUAUAGGAGUGAGGCUACUGAUAGAGAAACUCAAUUUUGCAGGUGUAUAACCUGAAAUUUCCAGUGCUGGUUACCAAGAUUCAGGUCAACUAGAAAUUUCACCUCCCCCCCCGACCAUUUCAGUAUUUUAUUCCUGUUUGGCUCUUCGUUUGUGUCAAUCGAAAUUUGUGUAAAUUAUGUUAAUAAUACUGGUGUUUGUGGUAUUUGGAAUUCAAAUGAGUCUCAGUGGCUUGCUGUUAUCGGUUUUCUGUAUCCGUCAGUAAUUUCUAGCUCAAAAUUCGCUUGGUUACUUGGACUCAUGGAUUGGUUGGUGUGCUGGCUCGAUGCUAGAGUUUUAUGCUUGAGUUAUUGCAAUUAGGUACAAAAGUAAGAGAUGGUAGGGUUUAGAGCUUAUUCCAGUUUUCACUUAAUCAUUGUGUGAUCCCGUCCUUUUCUAUGCAGUAAUCAUGGCUGACAAAGAACCACUUAAUUAUUGUUUAGUGUUAUGCAUCGUGUGUUUUUCUUCAAGUUGUCAACAUCCUUUGUAGUGUAAUUAGGGGAACUGGCGGGAAACGUUUUCUGACGAUUGGUUAUUCUCUGCGUUUGUAGCUCGCCCCAUUUGAUCCUACCAAGAAGAAGAAGAAGAAGAAAAAGUCGUGAUACAUGACAUUGCAGAUGAGUAAAAGGACACGAUGGCCGAGAAAAAUGAAUCAUUUUUUUAGGUUGGUAACUUGCCAUGAUUUACUUCUGCACUAUGUUCAUGGAUUUGGGACCAAUGGUUGUGUUGUAAUUACUGAAAUACUGUUUCUAAAUUCCUAUUCUCAUGGGUGUGGUCCUUGGAUAAUUAAGGAUUCAUAUUUGUUUAACGUUACCUUGGCUAAUAGCUACGUAAUGCAAUUAUGUAAGCAUGUUGUCGUCCAUAAUUACUUCUUUCCUUAUGAAACCAUUGCAAAGGUAAACGGAAAACUCACUACAAGACAUUGAUAGUGUAAAAAUUGCAACUGCAGAACUUGUGCACAACAAGUGUAUAUCUUUUUGGGGAUAUCAGCUGCAUUGACUUAAUUUCUGAUAAGAAGAAAAUAUGUACAAUGGGCAUAUUUCGG
rnacentral:lncRNA from 1 species